UGGAAACCAACGCUCGAUGCGCAGUGCUCUCUCUCACACCCAAAAUCCCAUAUGCGUUACUCUCAUCUUCCUACCACUGCCAAACAACAUAAACCGCAGGUUUGUCUCCUCGCAUUACCCACUUCGCUAGCUGUGGCAGUGAAUCCUCCAGUGGGUCAUCUGGGUAAGAUUCAAUUUCCCAAAGGGUUUUACCAUUUAAAUCUUGAACAUUUUCCUGCUUUUUCUGGAUAGGAGUAUUGUUUUGUAAUCCUCUCCGAUUUCUCCGCUAUCCUUGUCCAUUUAGUUAGUUAUACAGAUUCGUUCUUGUUAUUUACGUUUGAACCUGAGAUCAGAGAUACGAAUUAUUAUCGGUCUCUUCGAAUCUAUUGAUACCCUUCUUUCCUUGAACCGCAAAUACGGUUGUGUAUCUUCUUCAAUAAUCUAUUGUUAUAGCUUUGUUUAGAGUUCCAAAUUGAGGGAUUUCCUAAUUCACUGUUCAAAACGUUCAAGUUCAUUCAUGUUAUGAGAUAUGUUUUCUGCGUUUUGACAUCUCAGUAUGCUCAUGGGCACCUAUGCUUGUAACAUGCUCGUUUAUCCCUACUCGAAUUAUCCAUUAAUGAAUGAUAGUAGGAAAACUAUUUACUCUCCAUUGGUAAACUUUACUUUAAAAACUCCCAGAAAUCUUGGCUCUGGUCAAUUCCGUUGUCGAUUGAUUGCUCCGGAUGUGGAACAGACAGAAAAAACAGUAAUUGAUCAAGUAGAAAAACCUAGGUUUAAGUGGGUAGAGAUAGGACGUAACGUCUCAGAAGCCCAAAAAAAGGCCAUAGCUGAACUCCCUCCUAAGAUGACCAAACGAUGUAAGGCACUCAUGAGGCAGAUUAUCUGCUUCACUCCUCAGAAAGGAAGUUUUUCUGAUUUGUUGGCGGCUUGGGUGAGGAUUAUGAAGCCUCGGAGAGCUGACUGGCUUACGGUUCUUAAAGAAUUGAGAACAAUGGAUCAUCCACUUUAUCUAAAGGUUGCAGAGCUUGCCCUCCUAGAAGAAUCGUUUGAAGCCAAUGUUCGUGACUAUACUAAAAUAAUCCAUGCUUAUGGGAUGCAAAACCGACUUCACGAUGCUGAAAAGACCCUGUCAGCCAUGAAGAGUAAAGGCUUUACCUGUGACCAGGUAACUCUUACAACCAUGAUUCACAUGUACAGCAAAGCUGGCGAUCUUGUGCUAGCUGAAGACACUUUUGAACAACUCAAGCUGCUAGGACAACCUUUGGAUAAGAGAUCAUAUGGCUCAAUGAUCAUGGCCUACAUCCGAGCAGGAAUGCUCAAGCAGGGAGAGAUUUUACUUUACGAAAUGGAUGCCGAAGAAGUAUAUGCAGGAAGUGAAGUUUACAAGGCACUGUUGAGAGCAUACUCCAUGAUUGGUGAUUCUGAAGGAGCUCAAAGAGUGUUUGAUGCAAUUCAGUGCGCUGGUCUACCCCCUGAUGUUAAGCUGUGUGGGCUCCUUAUAAAUGCUUAUGCAAUGGCAGGUCAAAGUCAAAAGGCACGUGUUGCAUUUGAAAAUAUGAGAAGGGCUGGUCUUGAACCAAGUGAUAAAUGUAUAGCGUUGCUGUUGGCUGCAUUUGAAAAGGAGAAUAGGCUCAAUAAGGCAUUCGAGUUUCUGGUAAAUUUAGAGAGAGAUGGCAUUGUGCUUGGUAAAGAAGCUUCAGAAAUACUAGCUAGGUGGUUCCGGAGACUAGGGGUAGUAGAAGAAGUGGAGCUUGUUUUAAGAGAAUAUGCUGGUAGGUAAAGCCAAUUUCAAAGUUCCCUCUUCCUAGAUUACAGUCUUUCGUGCCAUGGCCUGGUCUCAUGUUUAUGUGCUCCUUUCAGUUUCCAAGAAUGAUGAAGUGCUGGAGUGUCCUUGGAGCCUUGGAGGAAUAAGAAGGUGGUUUUACCCUCUACCUUCCCUCUUCUUGGUUGACAAGGCAUCUGCAUUGGAGCUGGAGACGGGUUUAUAAUCCGGUGGUUUUCACAUCGACUUGGAUCUUAAUGUCAAAAGAUAGUACUUGUAUCGUUGGCAGAGAGUUAAUUGUUCAUCAACUGUAGCGCAUCCUUAGUGUGCAAAAAUUUUGCAAGUACAAAUGUAGAGGGGAAAAUAUAGUUACAAGCAUAAUUGUGCACUAAUCUGUGCACCAAUGUGAUGUGAUUGGUCAAAAAGUAAAUUUUAUUGAAAACAAUGUUAAUUUAAAUUCUAAGUAUGAAUGAAUUAGUAUUAGUACACAGAUUAGUACGCGAUUGUAUUUGUAUAUAGCAAAAUUCAAUGUAGAGAGUUUAUUCUCAUGUCA